rnacentral:rRNA from 1 species
GAUAUGGCUCGGGAUGAACGCUGGCGGCGUGCUUAAUACAUGCAAGUCGAACGAAGCACCUUGGACAGAAUCCUUCGGGAGGAAGACCAUUGUGACUGAGUGGCGGACGGGUGAGUAACGCGUGGGUAACCUGCCUUGUACAGGGGGAUAACAGUUGGAAACGACUGCUAAUACCGCAUAAGCGCACAGUACCGCAUGGUACGGUGUGAAAAACUCCGGUGGUACAAGAUGGACCCGCGUCUGAUUAG